UACGGGGGGGGCAAGCGUUGUUCGGAAUUACUGGGCGUAAAGGGCUCGUAGGCGGCCAACUAAGUCGGACGUGAAAUCCCCAGGCUCAACCUGGGAACUGCGUCCGAUACUGGAUGGCUUGAAUCCGGGAGAGGGAUGCAGAAUUCCAGGUGUAGCGGUGAAAUGCGUAGAUAUCUGGAGGAAUACCGGUGGCGAAAGCGUUCUGCUAGACCGGUACUGACACUGAGGGACGAAAGCUAGGGGAGCGAAUGGG
rnacentral:rRNA from 1 species